rnacentral:lncRNA from 1 species
CUAGUAUUGUUUAAAAACGUAUUGUUCUUGUACAAGUACAAAAAAAUAGCGUAUUAUUUUUGUUAUCUAGUUGAAGCAAAAGUAUUGCUUUUUGUAAACUAGUUGAAGAAAACGUGUUGUUUUUGUACAAGUACAAAAUCGUAUUAUUUUUGUUAUCUAGUUGAAGCAAAAGUAUUGCUUUUUGUAAACUAGUUGAAGAAAACGUAUUGUUUUUGUGCAAGUACAAAAACAUAUCAACGCAUUAUUUUUGUUAUCUAGUUGAAGCAAAAGUAUUCCUUUUUGUAAACUAGAUGAAGAAAACGUAUUGUUUUUGUACAAGUACAAAAACAUAUUAUUUUUGUUAUCUAGUAGAAGCAAAAGUAUUGCUUUUUGUAAACUAGUUGAAGAAAACGUGUUGUUUUUGUACAAGAACAAAAAUAUAACGUAUUAUUUUCUGUUAUAUAGUCGAAGAAAAAGUAUUGUUUUUGUAAUCUAGUUGAAGAAAAAAGAUAGAUUUUUGGAAUUCAACCGUUAUCCUAUCAACAAGACAGCAACCUCACUGAUAAAGCUUACCAAACCAUGACUUCCUCUCAGACUUGGAAUGGGUUUUAGAAUGGCACUAAGCAAAAGCAGAUAGUUGUUAAAGCACACUGAAAUAUCUGUUAGUUUGAUAGAGUUUAGUUAUCAGUUAGUUGGUAGAAUUUAGUUAGCUCUAGUUAUUUAGUUAUUCAAGAGUUGUUGGUCAAAGUUAGCUUUAGUUAAUAACAAGUUUUAGGAGUGGUUAUACAAAAUAUCUAUACACAAAGCAAACGCAAAUUAAAAAUAUAUCAACUCAAUUUGGAUUCUCAUUUCUGGGUUGAAAGAUCUUGUUGAGUUCUCUGUACAUUAAAAAAAUCAUUAAAAUUGUUUAAAAUCAUUAUAAUUGUACUGGACAUGAAAUAAAGAUAAUCAAAUAUUUAGAUUUAAUGUUUCAUGCGGCUUGCACAAGCAACUGGUUAAAAACUGAUUAGCGCAAGUAGAUUUUGUCAUAAGUUGAUUAAAAUCAUUCACACAAAUGAAAAUAAAAAAGCUUCAAACAAUAAACACAACAAACAAAAACCUCAACCAAUGAACAAAUGCUUUAAGUUUAUCAUGAAAACGAAAUUUCAAACUCAAGUAGGCUAUAUUUUUGGAAGUACGCAAGAAAUUGGUACAAAACAUUAGAUAUUCAUAUAUUUUCGAGGGUCAACCUCAUAAAUUUAAGAAAAAAAAUCAAGUUAUUACCAAUUUAUUACAAAAUAAACUUGAAUAAAUACUUUCCUAUCUAGUUUUGAGUGUCAAGCUCCAUAAAAUAUAUUUGUAUGAAAAAUCAUAAUACGCGUAUUUUUAAUUAGGUGAGGUACUAGAAGCGCCUGCAUACUUUCUAUGAUAAAAUUUAUUCAUAAAAUUCAUGGGAAAAAUUUGAAAAUAUCUAGUAAUCUUCAAGGAAUUACAUUCGUAAAUACGAACUUAUACAAUUAUAAAGCCUACUUAAUAUUAGCUCAGUUUUAUUCAAGGAACUGCAAAAAAUUAUCCACCUACACAUUUUAUAACCUACAUGCUGUGUAACUUGAGGAUUGGGGAAUUUUCCAAAUAUUUUUAUAAAAACUUAUUUAAAACAGGAAGACGGAGUUAUUAGACAGAAUAGUUACUGAUCUGAUAUAAAUAGGAAUAACUAUGAGCUUUUUUGUUUGUUUAUUAAUAAAUGGUUGUAGUAGGCCUAAACCACCACAGGGACCAAUUUUU